ACAUGCCAACAUGGCUUGAACGGAAGCCAGGAGAAACGGCACUGCUGCGGGAAGCUCACACCCAGAAUACCAACUCUUGGUGUCUUUUUCUUCUGCUUCUGCCGGCUCCUUGGCGUGGUGUCUUCUAAACUCUGUCAGAGUUACCCCAGAAGAACAGAGUUGGCUGCAGCUGGACAAGAAUCAACCACAAAGGGAUCUUGAUUUUGUUCAUCGUUAAUUCCAGCUCAACAGAUGAAGUCUGGCUAUCAUUGUCACCUUCACAGUUUGCCUUUGUAUUAUGUGAAUCUCCUGUACUAAAUUAACAAUCUGAUUAGCAAGUU